AUUGAACGCUGGCGGCAGGCCUAACACAUGCAAGUCGAGCGGAUGAAGGGAGCUUGCUCCUGGAUUCAGCGGCGGACGGGUGAGUAAUGCCUAGGAAUCUGCCUGGUAGUGGGGGAUAACGUCCGGAAACGGGCGCUAAUACCGCAUACGUCCUGAGGGAGAAAGUGGGGGAUCUUCGGACCUCACGCUAUCAGAUGAGCCUAGGUCGGAUUAGCUAGUUGGUGGGGUAAAGGCCUACCAAGGCGACGAUCCGUAACUGGUCUGAGAGGAUGAUCAGUCACACUGGAACUGGGCCACGGUCCAGACUCCUACGGGAGGCAGCAGUGGGGAAUAUUGGACAAUGGGCGAAAGCCUGAUCCAGCCAUGCCGCGUGUGUGAAGAAGGUCUUCGGAUUGUAAAGCACUUUAAGUUGGGAGGAAGGGCAGUAAGUUAAUACCUUGCUGUUUUGACGUUACCAACAGAAUAAGCACCGGCUAACUUCGUG
rnacentral:rRNA from 1 species